GCCCUGGUGGUCUAGUGGUAUGAUUCAUCGUUAGGGUCCAUCUGAUUGGUCAACUCGAUGAGGUCCCGCGUUCAAUUCGCGGCUAGGGCC
rnacentral:tRNA from 1 species